AAUGAACGCUGGCGGUAGGCCUAACACAUGCAAGUCGAACGGCAGCACAGUAAGAGCUUGCUCUUACGGGUGGCGAGUGGCGGACGGGUGAGGAAUACAUCGGAAUCUACUUUUUCGUGGGGGAUAACGUAGGGAAACUUACGCUAAUACCGCAUACGACCUACGGGUGAAAGCAGGGGAUCUUCGGACCUUGCGCGAUUGAAUGAGCCGAUGUCGGAUUAGCUAGUUGGCGGGGUAAAGGCCCACCAAGGCGACGAUCCGUAGCUGGUCUGAGAGGAUGAUCAGCCACACUGGAACUGAGACACGGUCCAGACUCCUACGGGAGGCGGCAGUGGGGAAUAUUGGACAAUGGGCGCAAGCCUGAUCCAGCCAUACCGCGUGGGUGAAGAAGGCCUUCGGGUUGUAAAGCCCUUUUGUUGGGAAAGAAAAGCAGCAGGUUAAUACCCCGCUGUUCUGACGGUACCCAAAGAAUAAGCACCGGCUAACUUCGUG
rnacentral:rRNA from 1 species